GGCCGCGUGGUGGAAUGGUAUACACAAGGGACUUAAAAUCCCUCGCCUGGCAACGGGCUUGCGGGUUCGAAUCCCGCCGCGGCUA
rnacentral:tRNA from 1 species